UCUUAUAGCUGGGAUGAUAUGGGGGAAGAUACUUAUCCCUUCUGGGGAUCAUAUAUAAAUGGUGAUAGUAGUACCUACAGUAUAGUGCUGUUAGAAUUACAUGAGUUAGAUGUGAAAGUCAGUGGAAGCAGGUGUGAGAGGGUCCCACAGAAGAAAACAUGGCUGCCAAAGUGUUUUGAGUCCAUUGGGAAGUUUGGCCUGGCCUUAGCUGCUGCAGGAGGCAUGGUGAAUUCUGCCUUAUAUAAUGUGGAUGCUGGGCACAGAGCUGUCAUCUUUGACCGAUUCCGUGGAGUACAGAACGUUGUGGUAGGGGAAGGGACUCACUUUCUCAUCCCAUCGGUACAAAAACCAAUUAUCUUUGACUGCUGUUCUCAACCAUAUAAUGCGCCAUUCAUCACUGGUAGCAAAGAUUUACAGAAUGUCAACAUCACACUGUACAUCCUCAUCCAGCCCAUCACUAGCCAGCAUCCUCUCAUCUUCACCAGCCUCGGAGAGGACUACGAUGAGCCUAUGCUGCCGUUCAUUACCACUGAGAUCCUCAAGUCACUGCUGGCUUGCUUUGAUGCUGGAGAACUAAUCAUCCAGAGAGAGCUGGUCUCCAGCCAGAUGAGCAAUGACCUGAUGGAGUGAGCAGCCACCUUUGGGCUCAUCCUGGACGACAUGUCUUUGACACAUCUGACCUUCGGGAAGGAGUUAACAGAAGCAGUGGAAGCCAAACAGGUGGCCCAGCAGGAGGCAGAGAGCGCCAGAUUUGUGGUGAAGGCUAAGCAGCAGAAAAAGGCGGCCAUCAUCUCUGCUGAGGGUGACUCCAAGGCAGCUGAGCUGAUCACCAACUCACUGGCCACUGCAGGGGACGGCCUGAGCAAGCUGUGCAAGCUGGAAUCUGGAAGACAUCGCAUACCAGCUCUCACGCUCUUGGAACAUAAUCUGCCUGCCGGCGGGGCAGUCCGUGCUCCUCCAGUUGCCCUAG